rnacentral:tRNA from 1 species
GGCGAGAUGGCCGAGCGGUCCAAGUCGCUGGUUUAAGGCACCGGUCCCUUCGGGGGCGUGGGUUCGAAUCGCACUCUCGUCA